rnacentral:rRNA from 1 species
ACCUGACCUCGGAUCAGACGUGAAUACCCGCUGACUAA